GAAAAGUCAUGUUUCUUUUUCAAAAUUAUCAGAUUAGAAGAGCUUCCGAACAAAGUAAAAGGAAUAGUGAGGAACUCAAAACGUGUUGAAGCAGAAAUAGCAGCGUUAAAGAUAUCUUACCUCAAGAGAAUCAACAAAGGCUCUAAUAUCAUCAUCUUUAUUGGUUUCGUAGGUACUCGGACUCGGCUAAAAUUGUGGCGAAAACGUUAAAGGUUCUCGGGUUUAAGAACUGCUGGAUCGUUACUGAUGGAUUUUCUGGUGGGAGAGGAUGGUUGCAGAGCCGGUUAGGCACUGAUUCUUACAACUUCUCCUUCGCACAGGUGUUGUCUCCAUCGAGGAUUAUCCCGGCAGCUUCUAGGUUUGGUACUAGAUCAGAAACCAAGUUCCUUCCUAGCUCCGACUGAAAACAAAGAGAAUGUAUUGUAUCAUUAGCUAAAGAAGUGUUGUUUUUAUAUCUCAACUUUGAGAGAUCUUUUGAUAAGAUUUUCGAAUUAUUAUUUCUCUUUUACAUUGAUGAUGAUAUGAAGUGGUACUUCAGGAAAAUAAAUCAAGUUGUACUUAAACUGAAGUAAUAGCUACAGCUUGGAAAACCUGAAGAUCAUCACCUUUGAAAGAAAGAAAAUGAUCAGAUAAACAGAGAUGACUGGGCCUAUAGUCUAGUGCAGGAAUAAUUUGGGAUAAAGUUGUAAACUUAGAUACCUCAGGACUGUUGUUGUAGUUGUACAUGACGCAACUAACCAAAUCAAUUAUGGACUAUCUGGUAGGUCUGGUGUGUGGCUCAGCUGUGUUCUUUAAGUGGUGGGUUUGCCCAAUUGCCA
rnacentral:lncRNA from 1 species